UACGAAGGGUGCAAGCGUUACUCGGAAUUACUGGGCGUAAAGCGUGCGUAGGUGGUUUGUUAAGUCUGUUGUGAAAGCCCCGGGCUCAACCUGGGAAUGGCAAUGGAUACUGGCAAGCUAGAGUGCGGUAGAGGGUAGUGGAAUUCCCGGUGUAGCGGUGAAAUGCGUAGAGAUCGGGAGGAACACCAGUGGCGAAGGCGG
rnacentral:rRNA from 1 species